UCUGUCUCUUAUUAGCUGUGUGAUUGUGGGCAGGGUAAGCCUCUCGUCCUCGCUGCAAAAUGAGCUCCUCACAGCACCUAUCACUAGCGCAAUUGUGAGCAUUAAAUAAAAUAACAUAGGCAGCAGCACUCAGGUUCGCCUCCCAGUCCAAGUACACUAAGUGGUAGUUACCACGGCGGGAGGGGCGGGGCGCUGUCCAUGCACGCGCAUGCGCGUCCCCGCGUGCGCGCGCUUCAGGUAAGAGGGCCGAGCAGGUCCGCGUUCGGAGGCCUGUCUGGGGGCUCUCUGGUGCGACGACUGUGGUGGCGUUUUUCAUGGGGAAGCUCUCGGCAGAGUUCUGGGGCCAUGCGGCGGUCUCCCGAGUGUCGCUGUCUGCAGUUCGCCGGAGGCGAGCGUUUCCGGGUCGGUCGGUGACCUUGGCUCGGCAGCCGGGCCGUGCGGCCUGCGCUGCCCGCGGGUGUCGGCCGCAGGCCCGGCCCAAGCGUUCUGGGGGCCACGGGCCGGGGCGGCCGGGGGUUCCAGAGGACCGGGCGAGCGGGGGCCGAGGGCCGUGGGUCGCCAGCGAAGGCCGCCGUCCUCGGCCUCUGCUGCUUGCUCGGUUCCCGGCCGUGGGAACCUGGAAGAAGCUGCUGCUGUUAAGGAGACCCAGGGAGAGACGGGGUCUUACUCUUUCUCAGGCUGGUCUUGAACUCCUGAACUCAAGCGAUUCUCCUGCCUUUGCCUCCCAGAGUGCUGCGAGUAGGCGUGAGCCACUAUACCCGGUCACGUGUACAUAUAUAUUUUUAAAAGAGAUGGGAUCUCGCUCUUGCUCAGGCUGGUUUCGAACUCCUGACCUCGAGCAAUCCACCCACCUCAGCCUCCCAGAGUACUAGGAUUACAUGCGUGAGCCACCGCGCCUGGCCUGCUUCAUUUCUUUUAUGUAAGAAAUUAAGUUUUAAUCUUUUGGUCCCCAGGGUAAUCACAUUAUCAAAAUGAGAAAAGGGAAUAUUUGGGAGGAGGGACACCUGGUAAGGAUAUUACUAGGAUAAUCCUACAAAAAGAGGGUAUUUGAUUACCUCUGCUCUCAGGCAUUGUGAAGAGGAGUUAGAAGGGAAUGGGGUAAAUGCCUGACAGUCUGAGAUAAAAACUAGUGGUUCUCCUGUUCUUGACUUCAGGGCUACAGGGAGGCUGAGUAAAAACUUGGGUUUACAUUUCAUAUAUUCAGUAAGAGUUAAAUAUUCUAUUUUCUUAAUUUGUUAUGUAGCCCUUUUCCUUGUUUAG
rnacentral:lncRNA from 1 species